UUUAAUUCCAACAUCAUAUGUUAAAUUUCAACUGCCAGUGACACAGUUGCGGUGCUAGUGUCACCUUAUGUUCGUUUUGAACAAGUACAGUAGGUUUCAACAUUGAAAUAAGGGGGGAGGGGAUUGAUUUAAAAAGUCUCAAUAUAUUUUGUGGACGAUUGUCUUAAAAAUUGAUAAGACUUAGUUAAUAGCAUCUCGAAGUUUUUUUGAAAUCACUUUGUGUGCAUGUGUAGUAGUCACUGUAGAUGAUACUAUUGGGGUUAUUGUUCACACGUAGAAUAGUACAGUACUGCCAAGUUGACCUGGGGGGGGGGAGAUAUAAAAGAAAUGGGGGGAGAUCCAAGAAAUAUCACUGUAUGUUUGGUAGACGAUUAUAUUAGAAAUUAAGAAAACUUAGAUGGCAGCAGCUCGAAGUUAUUUGAAA
rnacentral:lncRNA from 1 species